rnacentral:rRNA from 1 species
AUUGAACGCUGGCGGCAGGCUUAACACAUGCAAGUCGAGCGGGGACUUCGGUCCUAGCGGCGAGCGGGUGAGGAAUGCUUGGGAAUCUGCCCAGUAGCGGGGGAUAACGUUUCGAAAGGAACGCUAAUACCGCAUACGCCCUACGGGGGAAAGGGGGGGAUCUUCGGACCUCUCACUAUUGGAUGAGCCCAAGUCGGAUUAGCUAGUUGGUGGGGUAAAGGCCUACCAAGGCGACGAUCCGUAGCUGGUCUGAGAGGAUGAUCAGCCACACUGGAACUGAGACACGGUCCAGACUCCUACGGGAGGCAGCAGUGGGGAAUAUUGGACAAUGGGCGAAAGCCUGAUCCAGCCAUGCCGCGUGUGUGAAGAAGGCCUUCGGGUUGUAAAGCACUUUAAGCGAGGAGGAAUGGCUCUUGGUUAAUAACCUUGAGCAGUGACGUUACUCGCAGAAUAAGCACCGGCUAACUCUGUGCCAGCAGCCGCAGUAACAC